UGUUUUCCCCGGUACCCGUACGAUCACCAAAGUUAAGCAACGUCGAGCCUAUCAGUAUCUAGAUGGUGACCGCUUGGGAAGACCAUGUGCUGUAA